CCUACGGGGGGCUGCAGUGGGGAAUAUUGCACAAUGGGCGCAAGCCUGAUGCAGCCAUGCCGCGUGUGUGAAGAAGGCCUUCGGGUUGUAAAGCACUUUCAGCGGGGAGGAAGGCGUUAAGGUUAAUAACCUUGGCGGUUGACGUUACCCGCAGAAGAAGCACCGGCUAACUCCGUGCCAGCAGCCGCGGUAAUACGGAGGGUGCAAGCGUUAAUCGGAAUUACUGGGCGUAAAGCGCACGCAGGCGGUCUGUCAAGUCGGAUGUGAAAUCCCCGGGCUCAACCUGGGAACUGCAUUCGAAACUGGCAGGCUAGAGUCUUGUAGAGGGGGGUAGAAUUCCAGGUGUAGCGGUGAAAUGCGUAGAGAUCUGGAGGAAUACCGGUGGCGAAGGCGGCCCCCUGGACAAAGACUGACGCUCAGGUGCGAAAGCGUGGGGAGCAAACAGGAUUAGAUACCCUAGUAGUC
rnacentral:rRNA from 1 species